UAGCACAGAGAGCUUGCUCUCGGGUGACGAGUGGCGGACGGGUGAGUAAUGUCUGGGAAACUGCCUGAUGGAGGGGGAUAACUACUGGAAACGGUAGCUAAUACCGCAUAACGUCGCAAGACCAAAGAGGGGGACCUUCGGGCCUCUUGCCAUCAGAUGUGCCCAGAUGGGAUUAGCUAGUAGGUGGGGUAACGGCUCACCUAGGCGACGAUCCCUAGCUGGUCUGAGAGGAUGACCAGCCACACUGGAACUGAGACACGGUCCAGACUCCUACGGGAGGCAGCAGUGGGGAAUAUUGCACAAUGGGCGCAAGCCUGAUGCAGCCAUGCCGCGUGUAUGAAGAAGGCCUUCGRGUUGUAAAGUACUUUCAGCGGGGAGGAAGGUGUUGUGGUUAAUAACCRCAGCAAUUGACGUUACSCGCAGAAGAAGCACCGGCUAACUCCGUGCCAGCAGCCGCGGUAAUACRGAGGGUGCAAGCGUUAAUCGGAAUUACUGGGCGUAAAGCGCACGCMGGCGGUCUGUCAAGUCGGAUGUGAAAUCCCCGGGCUCAACCUGGGAACUGCAUUCGMAACUGGCAGGCUAKAGUCUUGUAKAGGGGGGUAGAAUUCCAGGUGUAGCGCGUGAAAUGCGUASAGAUCUGGAGGARUACMGGAYKRCGAAGGCGGCCCCCUGKASWMWGCACWSACRCUCAGGUGCAGMAARCGUGKSGAGCRWACASGAKKAGAUACCCUGCGKMGUCCACKCCGCYAAACGAUAKUCGACYUSKAKGCWWGUGCCCCYYSARGMGCUGKCUCYCCSSAGCUAACARMGWUAAGUCGACCGCCUGGGGAGUACGGCCGCAAGGUUAAAACUCAAAUGAAUUGACGGGGGCCCGCACAAGCGGUGGAGCAUGUGGUUUAAUUCGAUGCAACGCGAAGAACCUUACCUACUCUUGACAUCCAGAGAACUUUCCAGAGAUGGAUUGGUGCCUUCGGGAACUCUGAGACAGGUGCUGCAUGGCUGUCGUCAGCUCGUGUUGUGAAAUGUUGGGUUAAGUCCCGCAACGAGCGCAACCCUUAUCCUUUGUUGCCAGCGGUUAGGCCGGGAACUCAAAGGAGACUGCCAGUGAUAAACUGGAGGAAGGUGGGGAUGACGUCAAGUCAUCAUGGCCCUUACGAGUAGGGCUACACACGUGCUACAAUGGCGCAUACAAAGAGAAGCGACCUCGCGAGAGCAAGCGGACCUCAUAAAGUGCGUCGUAGUCCGGAUUGGAGUCUGCAACUCGACUCCAUGAAGUCGGAAUCGCUAGUAAUCGUAGAUCAGAAUGCUACGGUGAAUACGUUCCCGGGCCUUGUACACACCGCCCGUCACACCAUGGGAGUGGGUUGCAAAAGAAGUAGGUAGCUUAACCUUCG
rnacentral:rRNA from 1 species